rnacentral:rRNA from 1 species
AACGAACGCUGACAGCGUGGAUAAGACAUGCAAGUCGAACGGGACAGACCGAGUAGCAAUAUUUGGAAUGUUCAGUGGCGAACGGGUGCGUAACACGUGGAUAACAUUCCGGAAAGCGGGGAAUAGCCCAGGGAAACUUGGAUUAAUACCGCAUGUGGCCGCAAGGCUAAAGACGGGGACCGCAAGGCCUGUCACUUUCCCAUUGGUCCGCGGCCUAUCAGCCAGUUGGCGGGGUAAUGGCCCACCAAGGCUACGACGGGUAGCUGGUCUUAGAGGACGACCCGCCACACUGGAACUGAGACACGGUCCAGACACCUACGGGUGGCAGCAGUCGAGAAUCUUUCACAAUGGGGGCAAUCCUGAUGGAGCGACGCCGCGUGGAGGAUAAGGUCUUCGGAUUGUAAACUCCUGUCAUGCGAGAACAAGGUACUCAGGCUAAUAACCUGAUUGUUUGAUGGUACCGCAAGAGAAAGAGACGGCUAACUCUGUGCCAGCCGCCGCGGUAACAC